rnacentral:sRNA from 1 species
CAUCAUUUUCCAUUAUACUUGAAUAUAGAGAGCCACAUACUGCUGCCUAGAUAUUAAUAGUCAUGACAUUAGUUCAGAUCUUGACUUUGUUUUAUAUUUCUCUAGUCGGCGUGGCACAAGCCUAAUGGAAGAUGAUGAAGAGCCAAUUGUUGAAGAUGUUAUGAUGUCCUCAGAAGGGAGGAUUGAGGAUCUUAAUGAGGGAAUGGAUUUUGACACCAUGGAUAUAGAUUUGCCACCAUCAAAGAACAGACGAGAGAGAACAGAACUGAAGCCUGAUUUCUUUGAUCCAGCUUCAAUUAUGGAUGAAUCAGUAGGUUUAAUUUAAAUGUACCCUAGGAUUGCAAAAUCAGAAGUAU